ACUUUAACAUCGGUGUACUUUCU
rnacentral:miRNA from 1 species